UGUGCAAACUUGCUUUUUUUCACCCAUGGGCAUGUGUUUAGAAUGAAAGGAAUGGUCUCAUCCAUCACUCAGGCUCUUCUUCAACAGGACAUGAAUGGGGCUGCAGAGGGGAGGGAGGUAGGAGGUCAUUUGCUACCAACAACUAGCCUUCACCAGUGUCUUAUCUUUCUUCUCUGAGGCUCCCUGAGGCUACAGGGCCUUCCUCUCUCCCUCAAACUCCUGCCUUUACUGUCCUGAAUUGUAAUUGCCAAGUUUCACAGUUUUCUCAGAACAGUUUCCAUUUCCCUGGCUGGACUGAAAGCUUGUUCAGGAUUUACAUUUCAUCUCAGUCUCACCCUAUCCCUACUCCCACAGAUACCCUAGUGCAGAGCUGGUUCCUGUUCCAGUCGAUUCUGAGUUGGUGUUCACCGCCUGAUGCGGUGCUGAGAGCUUGCUCCCUGCUGGGAAGUGAUGGAUUCUCAGGUACAGGAGGAGAAAUGAGCAAUAUCAACCCCGUAGGCAUAGAGGAGCUGCAGAAGGAAAGGAAGAUUUGGAGCCAAAAAUAACCCCAGUUUUUUUGAAUUCAUGACCAGAGCUAAAAUAACCCCCUUCCCAGGUAAGAACUAUUAAUUCAAUCACUGCUGUUAGCUUCAACACCACAUUCCUAUUAUUCAGCCCGCUGUUCCUACCAUUCAAUUCCACAAACAUUGUUUAGUACCUCUUCUAACCUAGUUGCCAUAAGAACCCCCAAAAUGAAGAAAACAUUUUCUCGCCCUAAAGGAGGUCACUAGUCAGAUGAACAUGACACGUACAAAAAUAACAGGGGGCGGGGCGCAAUGGCUCAGGCCUGUAAUCACAGCACUUUGGGAGGGCAAGGCAGGUGGAUUGCUUGAGGUCAGGAGUUCAAGACUAGCCUGGCCAAUGUGGUGAAACCCAGACUCUACUAAAAACAAAACAAAAAAAAAAACAAACAAAUAUUAGCUGGACAUAGUAGUGCACACCUGUAGUCCUAGCUACUCAGGAGGCAGGAGAAUUGAUUGAACCUGGGAGGUGGAGGUUGCAGUGAGCUGAGAUUGUGCCACUGCAGUCCAGCCUGGGCGACAGAGUGAGACGCCAUCUCAAAAAUAAAUAAAUAAAUGUUUUUUAAAAAAAAAAACA
rnacentral:lncRNA from 13 species